rnacentral:piRNA from 1 species
AGGAGAGAUGGUCAGGGGUACCCGACAGU